rnacentral:rRNA from 1 species
GACGAACGCUGGCGGCGUGCCUAAUACAUGCAAGUAGAACGCUGAAGCGAGGAGCUUGCUCUUCUUGGAUGAGUUGCGAACGGGUGAGUAACGCGUAGGUAACCUGCCUUGUAGCGGGGGAUAACUAUUGGAAACGAUAGCUAAUACCGCAUAACAAUGGAUGACCCAUGUCAUUUAUUUGAAAGGGGCAAAUGCUCCACUACAAGAUGGACCUGCGUUGUAUUAGCUAGUAGGUGAGGUAACGGCUCACCUAGGCGACGAUACAUAGCCGACCUGAGAGGGUGCACGACCACACUGGGGCGGAGACACGGCCCAGACCCCUACGGGAAGCAGCAGUAGGGGAUCUUCGGCAAUGGGGGCAACGCUGACCGGGCAAAGCCGAGGGAGUGAAGAAGGUUUUCGGGUCGUAAAGCUCUGUUGUAAGUCAAGAACGAGUGUGAGAGUGGAAAGUUCACACUGUGACGGUAGCUUACCAGAAAGGGACGGCUAACUACGUG